GAUGAACGCUGGCGGCGUGCCUAAUACAUGCAAGUCGAGCGAACAGACGAGGAGCUUGCUCCUCUGACGUUAGCGGCGGACGGGUGAGUAACACGUGGAUAACCUACCUAUAAGACUGGGAUAACUUCGGGAAACCGGAGCUAAUACCGGAUAAUAUAUUGAACCGCAUGGUUCAAUAGUGAAAGACGGUUUUGCUGUCACUUAUAGAUGGAUCCGCGCCGCAUUAGCUAGUUGGUAAGGUAACGGCUUACCAAGGCAACGAUGCGUAGCCGACCUGAGAGGGUGAUCGGCCACACUAGAACUGAGACACGGUCCAGACUACUACGGGAGGCAGCAGUAGGGAAUCUUCCGCAAUGGGCGAAAGCUUGACGGAGCAACGCCGCGUGAGUGAUGAAGGUUUUCGGAUCGUAAAACUCUGUUAUUAGGGAAGAACAAAUGUGUAAGUAACUAUGCACGUCUUGACGGUACCUAAUCAGAAAGCCACGGCUAACUACGUG
rnacentral:rRNA from 1 species